UUUCCGUAGGUGAACCUGCGGAAGGAUCAUUAUCGAAUUUCGAGGGGAAGGAAGAUGAGGAGUGGAGACUGUCGCUGGCUUACCCGCCUGGGAAGCAUGUGCACGCCUUGCUUUUCGUUGACCUUUCUCUUACUCUCACACCUGUGCACCCAUUGUAGGUCCUCGAAAGAGGAUCUAUGUUUUUAUCAUCACACGCAUCGUAUGUCCAUAGAAUGUAACAUGAUCGUCGAUCGACCUCGCGGUCGGGUGGCGGUCUAAAUAAAUAAAUACAACUUUCAGCAACGGAUCUCUUGGCUCUC
rnacentral:misc_RNA from 1 species